UACGAAGGGGGCUAGCGUUGCUCGGAAUCACUGGGCGUAAAGGGCGCGUAGGCGGAUCUUUAAGUCAGGGGUGAAAGCCUGAGGCUCAACCUCAGAAUUGCCUUUGAUACUGAAGAUCUUGAGACCGGAAGAGGUAAGUGGAACUGCGAGUGUAGAGGUGAAAUUCGUAGAUAUUCGCAAGAACACCAGUGGCGAAGGCGGCUUACUGGUCCGGUUCUGACGCUGAGACGCGAAGGCGUGGGGAGCGAACGGG
rnacentral:rRNA from 1 species